AACGAACGCUGGCGGCAUGCCUAACACAUGCAAGUCGAACGAGACCUUCGGGUCUAGUGGCGCACGGGUGCGUAACGCGUGGGAACCUGCCCUUAGGUUCGGAAUAACUCCCCGAAAGGGGUGCUAAUACCGGAUAAUGUCUUCGGACCAAAGAUUUAUCGCCUUUGGAUGGGCCCGCGUUGGAUUAGCUAGUUGGUAGGGUAAAAGCCUACCAAGGCGACGAUCCAUAGCUGGUCUGAGAGGAUGAUCAGCCACACUGGGACUGAGACACGGCCCAGACUCCUACGGGAGGCAGCAGUGGGGAAUAUUGGACAAUGGGCGAAAGCCUGAUCCAGCAAUGCCGCGUGAGUGAUGAAGGCCUUAGGGUUGUAAAGCUCUUUUACACGGGAUGAUAAUGACAGUACCGGGAGAAUAAGCUCCGGCUAACUCCGUG
rnacentral:rRNA from 1 species